rnacentral:rRNA from 1 species
CCUACGGGUGGCAGCAGUAGGGAAUCUUCCACAAUGGGCGAAAGCCUGAUGGAGCAACGCCGCGUGGGUGAAGAAGGUCUUCGGAUCGUAAAACCCUGUUGUUAGAGAAGAAGGUGCGUGAGAGUAACUGUUCACGUUUCGACGGUAUCUACCCAGAAAGCACCGGCUAACUACGUGCCAGCAGCCGCGGUAAUACGUAGGUGGCAAGCGUUAUCCGGAUUUAUUGGGCGUAAAGCGCACGCAGGCGGUCUUUUAAGUCUGAUGUGAAAGCCUUGGACUUAACCGGAGUAGUGCAUUGGAAACUGGGAGACUUGAGUGCAGAAGAGGAGAGUAGAACUCCAUGUGUAGCGGUGAAAUGCGUAGAUAUAUGGAAGAACACCAGUGGCGAAAGCGGCCCCCUGGUCUGUAACUGACGCUGAGGUGCGAAAGCGUGGGUAGCAAACAGGAUUAGAUACCCCGGUAGUC